AGGGCACAUGGCGGAUGCCUUGGCUCUCGGAGGCGAUGAAGGACGUGAUAAGCUGCGAUAAGCUGCGGGUAGGUGCAAAUGACCUUUGAUCCGCGGAUUUCCGAAUGGGACAACCCGGUACUUUGAAGAAGUAUCAUCCUGCAUUGCAGGAGGCUAACGCAGGGAACUGAAACAUCUUAGUACCUGCAGGAAAAGAAAAUAAACAAUGAUUCCCCCAGUAGUGGCGAGCGAACGGGGAAUAGCCCAAACCAUCCAUGUUACGGCAUGGGUGGGGUUGUAGGACCACGCCGUGGCAAGAAAGUUGGUGAGCAGAAUGUUCUGGAAAGUACAGCCAUAGAGCAUGAGAGCUGCGUAUGCGAAGCCAAGCGAAGCCUAGUGGUAUCCUGAGUAGCGCGGAGCACGAGGAAUUCUGCGUGAAUCUGCCGGGACCAUCCGGUAAGGCUAAAUACUCCCGAGAGACCGAUAGUGAACCAGUACUGUGAAGGAAAGGUGAAAAGCACUUCGAACAGAAGAGUGAAAUAGUUCCUGAAACCAUGUGCCUACAAGCGGUCGGAGCACCUUCUGGUGUGACGGCGUGCCUUUUGCAUAAUGAACCUACGAGUUACUUUUUCCGGCGAGGUUAAGGAUUUCAGAUCUGCAGCCGAAGCGAAAGCGAGUCUGAACAGGGCGUAUAGUCGGAAGGAGUAGACGCGAAACCAAGUGAUCUACCCUUGGGCAGGUUGAAGGAUGGGUAACACCAUCUGGAGGACCGAACCAAUAAGCGUUGAAAAGCUUCUGGAUGACCUGAGGGUGGGGGUGAAAGGCUAAUCAAACUUGGAGAUAGCUCGUACUCCCCGAAAUGCAUUUAGGUGCAGCCUUGACUUAUACUGGCAUGAGGUAGAGCGACUGAUAAGAUGCGAGGGCUUCACCGCCUAUCAAGUCUUGACAAACUCCGAAUGCGUGUCAGUUCUAUGUCAGGAGUGAGGGCAUGGGUGCUAAGGUCCAUGUCCUAAAGGAGAACAAUCCGGACCAACAGCUAAGGUCCCGAAAUGAAUACUAAGUUGAACUAACGAAGUCAGAUUGCUAAGACAGCUAGGAUGUUGGCUUGGAAGCAGCCAUUCAUUUAAAGAGUGCGUAACAGCUCACUAGUCGAGGAGUUUGGCGUGGAUAAUAAUCGGGCAUAAGUAUUCUACCGAAGCUUUGGGAUGAGAAAUCAUCGGUAGGGGAGCAUUCCACUCGGCGUCGAAGGUGAAGCGCGAGCUUUGCUGGAGCGUGUGGAAAAGCAAAUGUAGGUAUAAGUAACGAUAAAGGGGGUGGGAAACCCCCUCGCCGAAAGACUAAGGUUUCCUGAUCAACGCUAAUCGGAUCAGGGUAAGUCGGGUCCUAAGGCUCAGCCGAACGGCGAGGCCGAUGGCAGAACCGGUUAAUAUUCCGGUACUACCUGUGGGAGUGACGUGGAGACGGAGUCGUGACAGCGCCGCGGACUGACGGAAUAGUCCGUUGAAGGGUGUAGAUGCUGAUUGUUCCAGGCAAAUCCGGAGCAAGAGUCGAACCUGAUAGUAUGGAGCGUUCUUAGAACAAUCCAAUAGUGCGUGUAAUCAUACUUCCAAGAAAAUCCGCUAAACUUAAUCCUGCAGGUACCCGUACCGCAAACGGACACACGUAGUCGGGUUGAAUAUACUAAGGCGCUUGAGUGAUUCACGGUUAAGGAACUAGGCAAACUGACCCUGUAACUUCGGGAUAAAGGGUCCUCGCUUAACGGCGAGGCGCAGAGAAUAGGUCCAGGCAACUGUUUAACAAAAACACAGGGCUGUGCAAAAUUGAAAGAUGAAGUAUACAGCCUGACACCUGCCCGGUGCUGGAAGGUUAAGAGGAGAUGUCAUCGCAAGAGAAGCAUUGAAUUGAAGCCCCAGUAAACGGCGGCCGUAACUAUAACGGUCCUAAGGUAGCGAAAUUCCUUGUCGGGUAAGUUCCGACCUGCACGAAUGGUGUAAUGAUCUGGACGCUGUCUCAACCGUGAGCU
rnacentral:rRNA from 1 species